GGGGCGGUACAAGGAGGAAGGUGCAGGGGAAAAUUGCGUUUGAGCCCUUGCUCUAUGAGGCACAGCUUCAGGAGUGUGGGUGAGUCCUUUCCCUGUAAAAAAAAGUUGCGGACAAGGUGGUAGUUCCCGCCAGCGUGUAGCCGCUAACGGGCCCCUCAUGUCUGUUGAAUGAGUGGGUGACCGCAGAGGCCGAGCUCAGACACGGUGCGACAUCGCCAUCUGUCGGCCAGGAGGAGACCUGAAGCCUCCUGCCCUCGAGCCAAGGACAGAACUCGUGGCCCCUCUGGGGGAGGGGGGAGAAGGCUGGAUAGCACGUUGCAGGGUUUUGUUUUGCUUCCUCAUUUUGCUCCAAGUCGAAGACCAGGCAUUCUGGUUUGCUCUACUCUCAGAAAAAGGCCCUUCUUGCCCAGCCUUUCUCCCCCAACGCCAAGCACCCAAUCUGCACGCCGCGCCCCCCACCCCCUACCCUCACUCUCAGUGAUUGCACCUGGCCCUUCUGUCCCACACUCUGCCCCAUGUGGCUUCCAUUCCUCCCUCAGAACCGUCUGUGCCCUGGCGGGUGCUGGGAGCCGACAGUAAAGCCGACAAAGACAUGGUUCCCAUCUCCACCGUUCACCGUCCAGCCAGCGGACGUAGGGCAGAGACGCGGAAGCUCCCACUCCAUCCAUACCAGAUGCAGUGGUGUUUGCUUUUUAAAGUGAAUCUGAAUCCAUCACCCGAUGUUAAGGUUGCGCUGCCAGCAAGAAAACGUGCGUGGCCGUGUCCUGAUGGUGGGACCUGGAGUUCGGAGAGACACUGGGUGAGGAACGGGGAUUUUGGAGCCACCAGCAGACAUGGGUGAUGACUAAGCAUAGCAACGCGUAAGAUCAUCAGGUCAGAGCUUCAGAAGUGCAGGAAAAGAAUCAUCUCUACCAUGGGUCAGUGCCUACAGGCCUGGCACGUUGUCACAAAUCCUACCCCCAGUUCCUCAAGCUCGAGCUCACUCAUAUUUACAGGUGGAGAUCUGAACCCAGAAAUGUAGAGGAAACUACCUACAGAGCAGAGCCAGGAAGUGAUAAAGCAGGACAAUGACCAGGGUGGACCCAGGUCUCCCCUCUCCAGGCCGGGUGCUUUGGGACCCCCACGAAACCUCCACCAGCAGGGGUUACUCUCUCGGAGCCUUUGA